CGUUGCCGCGUUUAGAUAAACAUUCACAAAUUGAAAAUUAGAAGAUGAUGGCGCCAUAAAUAACGUAUGAUUUAUAUGAAUAACGAUCAUUUAACCUACAGAAUACGUAUUAUCCAGUCCUUGGAUCAAAUAUUUUCUGUAUCUGAAGUAAGUAAGGUACGUUGUCCGGUCUAUUUUACAAAACGCUUGAUCUACUCGCAAUGAACACUGAACGUCAUGUUGUGUGAUAAAAAUUAAAACUAACAUGCUUCUAAAAUUGUAAUUAUGACAAUGUUUACGUAUGUUUAUGUAGGUUCAUCAAGUAACGAUAUUUAACUGAGAGUUUAACAAUUAAUACUUGGUCUCUGUAGGAUUACUAGGUUACUACGACUCACUACUAAGGGAUAUAUCAUUAUAUGUCGCUUUGAAAUAUUCUUUGUUCUCACUGCUGGUAGAUUUGUGUGAAGAAGGGGACUGAAGGGGUGGUAAGCAUAUCAUCUAAAAUAGCUUAUUUAAUUAACUUGUGUUUAGUGCUUACUGCCGUCAUAGGACACGUUGAUAUUUUGUAUACACAGGCACCAAGAGUCUCUGUUAAUAUGCAUACAAAACUGUAUGUAUUUUUUUGUCUAUGAUUAUGCUGAAUUUGAUGGAUAAUCCUAGUGAGCAUAUUUAAUAUAUUAUAUAUACAGAAUUUAAGACCUAAUCAGGAACGGCUGCGAAAAAUGCAACACUAGGUGAUCUGGCAGGGAUUAAUGUCAUUAAACCUACGGUCCUGUGAUUCAAGUGCAGCACUCUAACCAACUGAGCUACAGGUGUAUGUACCACAGAAUACCACGGUACCACAGAAUACCAGUCUUAUUUAUUUCUUAUAUAAAAUUUGAAGGAAAUAUGCUAUAAACUUUAUUUUCGUGAUUAUAUAUUAGUUUAGUCUUAAUUGACAUAUAAAAACAAAAAAUGUAUAUUUUCUUAAAAAUUCUUAAAAAUAAUAAGGAUUAACAAAAAGUAACAUUCUAUAUUUUUGGUCCUUUUUUUUCGCAUAAUGCCUAUAAAAUCCGAAUGUUUAAAAAUAAGUUCGCAAACCAGCAUAAUUUAUGUUGAUCAAUACUUUUUCUAUGCAAUGCAACAUUAUUACUACACUGGAAUCACACAGUGUAAUCAAUUUUACCAUUGAAAAACUGAAUUUUUCAAAAUUAUUGAUAAACCUGGUAUUCUUUGGUUAUACCACUGGUAUUCUGUACUGAUCUUAGUGUUUAACUUUCACUAAAUUAAGUUAGCAAUAUCCCACAGUAUUAUCAUACAACAUGACACACCAAAUCCUGGUACAAUUUGAUAAACCGUUGCUUACUUAUCUCUGCACUGGUAUUCUGUGGUACAUUGGAUUUUUUCCCACAGAAUAUUCAUUUAAAAAAAAAUAAUUAAGUCUAUGAAAUCUUGCCCCAAAACCCCAGGAAGAAAAAAUAUAUUGAUAGACUAUACUAAAAAAUAUUAAGGAACCAUAUUAUAUACAUUAGACAAAAGAUAUGGAUCAUGCGGUAUUCUGUGAUACAUACACCUGUACAGUACAGAUCGAAGCUAGUCGCCGAGCUGUAACUGCAAGUUUAUCGACAUGUAUAUAUAACUGCAAGUUUAUCUACAUGUAUUUGGGUGUGCGGGUUGUGAUAAGGUGAACUUGAAAGAUGUUGUUAGCACUUCAGUCAGUUCACUUAGUUGAACUAGAAUUUAUGCUUGCUUUGGCGGAUUAUCCAAGACAGAGGACCUACUGUAGAGUUGCAUUUUUGCAACUGUUCCUGGUCAGGUCAGGAUGUGUAUAUAUAUGCUCACUUGGAUUAUCUAGCAAACCCAGCAUUCUAGUUCACCGAAGUGAAGUGCUAACCAGGGGUGGAAAAAUAUUUUACUUUCUGGGACCGCAAGAGAACAUUGCACAUUUCUGCAAAUAAUAAAGUAAAUUGACACUCGGACACUGUAACUAUGUGAUGUUAUCAAACUGAAUGUCAUGUUAUAUUUUAAAUUAACAGAAAAAUAUUAAUUAACAUAAAACUAAUUUAGAUAACAUGCAUCAAGGGUCUGAUCCUAAGGUGAAUAGAGAUGCUUAAAAAGGCACUACUUGGGGGGGCACUAGCAGGAGGAUCCAUGCCCCCCCCCCCCACCAUUUGCCAUAGAACAUUUGUUACAUUAUUCUAUAGUCUUACACUAUUAAGAUGGAUAAUUAUUGCAUUUCUAAGGUCAUACCUACAGCACAGGUGACUUUUUUUCUAUUAGUUAGAAUUUUUCCUUUUAUCUAUUAAUUUUUACAUUAAUUAUCCUUUUUUCUUUCUUGGGGAACUAUUUUCUGGGAACUAUAUAUAUAUAUAUAUAUGCUUACUUGGAUUAUCCACCAAACUCAGCAUAUAUCUAUUUUCCAAAAACAUGGUCAUGAGUAAAGAACUGUCAGAUGGAGUGUUUCAUUUUAAGAAAAAUCUUGUUUAUAUAAUAGUACACAACAUGUCUAGACUAUAAAUGUCUCAUCUGUGACUAUUUCUUUAAUAAACCUUUUGCAUACUAAACUUGAAAGAUAAUAUUCAUAUUAAAUUUAAUUUGAAUAUUCAUAAUUUAAUAUGUGAGGGCCAAACAAAUGAAAAAGUGCAAUUAACACAACUAUAUUAUUAUUAUUACUGGAAUUAUAACUACAGUACAUACAAUAACAUAAGUUAAAUUACUAUGUAGUUUACAACUAUAUUAUAUUUACUAUCCUAAUUGUUGUUCAUAGUAUUAAAAAUGUUAAUAGCAUGUAAAAGCGGGUUAUUUUAUAAACAAUUUUUGUUCCCUCUAGUGUUUCUUUCCGUUACCUCAGAUCUUUUUGGAAGGAAGCAAAUGAUUAAGCUAAUGAUCUUCUUCAGUCAUAUCUGAUAUUAACUUGAAACAGUGAUCUUUUCUUCGUUGUUCCAAUGUUGUCAACUUGUUCGCUUUCAAUACCUCGUAAUCUUGUCCUGGAUAUAUUAUACGAAAUGCUUGUUUUUGAAUCCUUUCGAUAUUGCAUCGUUGUUUAGCAGUUAGACCCCCAGGCCAUACUAAACAUCACCAUCAUAGACGGAUUUUCAUAUUUUUUACUGGGGUGGUGCCAGAAAUUUUAGGGGGGGGGGGGAUGAGCCGUGAGCAGGUGACUGAAGCAACACAAAGUGUCACCAAACCCCAGUAAGGUCUAUAUUCUAGGGGUGGAGCACUAGAGCCGCGAGGGGGAGUCUAGAGAGCAGAAAACAAAGUAUCCCUGGAAAAAUUUGAAAAAAAUCAUGAUUUCUAGCUUCGAAAAAACGGUUUUUGAAGUUGUCAUAUCAAUGGAUUUGGCAUGUCCGAUUGUCUGUUGAGACUUGAGAGAGUUAAAGUUAAAUGAACCUGUAAAAGUGUAAACCCAAUAGGCUUGUGUCGUUUGAAUCCGAGUACAAUUUAUGAUGCAACUCCGAUGUAAAUAAUAUUUGGGGCGUAAAGAUUAAAUCUAUGGGCAAGUCUAUUUCCUAAAAGAAUUAAAAACUAAAAAUAAUGUUCGUAAAAAUUCCAAACGUUCCUUGCAAGCAAGCUAUUUGCAUGACAAGGCACUGCAAACUCUAUUCAGGGGAGAUAAUAGAGUUUCAAAACUUUACAAUUGCUCCAAUAAAGCAGUGGAUGCAAGCGAAGAGCGAUUAGUUUCAGAGUAUUGCACUGUCUUUUUCUGUUCGAGUGUCCUCCUACGUUUAUUUUGUAUCAUCAACACUCUGCAUGUUGGAGUGGACAAUUUAAUUAUUUUUUAUUGUGCCGAAUAUUGGGGGGGGGGGUUAAAAAUUUUUUUGGAGGGGUGGACAUUUUGUUUUUGGGGGGUUAUAGCUAAUAUUGGGGGGUAGCAUCCCCUUGCACACCCCCCCCCCAACAAAAUCCGUCUAUGAUCACCAUAUUCUAAAACCUGAUUAUUGAAUUAUAAAAUGCCAACAGGUCCUUUGUGAGGGCACCGUAAUUCUUUGAGAUUUUUAAAAAGUACAGUCUUUUCCGGCCCUUUUUAAUCAAAGCCCAAGUGUUAGUCUCCCAUUUCAGAUUAUUAUCGAUCCACACACCCAGUAAUUUGUAGGAGCUGACACGACUUAUUGGAGACUGUUCCGCUUGUAGUUCAGGAAUUUCUGUUUUCGUUUUUCUGAAGUCUAUAAUCAUUUCUUUGCACUUUCACCUGUUUAAAGUCUCCUGUUGGUCUUGUAUGUCCACGGCUGUUUCGUCUUCAGUAUUAUUUUCAUUGGCCAAACCUGGAAUAUCUGUACCUGGUUCGAGAUCUUGAGUGUCGUUUAUGUUCUCCGAGGCAAGUAAUUGAUCGAUGUGUCUCCUCCAGAUAACAUUUGGUGCAAUCUCGACCUGGUAUGACACUGGUCCGGUUCGAGCACGCACAAUUCCUUGAAUCCACUUUUCCUUCUCUCUGUAAUUUCUGACACUAACUGCAUUACCAGCAAUAUCACCUUUGGGUUUGGCUUGGCUGACUUGUUUCUGUAUAACAUGCUUUCGAAUAUCCAGUUUGAUCAAGUCUAACCGUGUGCGUAAAUUUCGUCCCAUGAAGAGAGUUGCUGGUGUUUCACCAGUCGUGCUGUGUGGUGUGUUUCUAUAUUUCAUUAAGAAUUUGGAUAGUUUGGUCUACGUGGAGCCAAGGUCUUCCUUCAUUGAAGUCAAAAAUUGUUUCAUGGUUUGAAUGAAUCUUUCUGCUAAGCCGUUAGUGGCUGGAUAAUAUGGUGCUGAAGUUACGUGUUUAACUCCGUUUUUCUUUAGAAAUAGCUGGAAUUCUUCUGCAGUGAAUCGAGGGCCAUUAUCGCUAACCAUUAGUUCUGGUAACCCAUUUCGAGCAAACACUGUUUGCAGGGCUUCGACAGUUUUGGAGGUGGUUGUUUUCGAGUGCAUGAUUAUUACCUCUCGCCAUUUUGAAUGAACGUCAACAAUCACUAAAAAUAUCAUUGCAAGGAAUGGUCUUGCAAAAUCGUCAUGAAUACGUUGCCAGGGGGUAGAUGGCCACUCGCAUGGGUGUAAUGGUGAGCAUUUGGGGGCAUGUUGAACCCGCUGGCAACCACUGCAUCCUUUCAAUCCCCAAAUCAAUUCCUGGCCACCAAACGUAACUUCUAGCCAGAGCUUUCAUUCUAACCACACAAACAUGACUUUCGUGUAAUACUUGUAGUACUUCGCUUCGUAACUUUGUGGGAAUGACAACUCUGCUCCCCCACAUAAUACAUCCUUGGUGCAUAGUUAGUUCGUUUCUUCGAGAAUAAAAGGGUUGCAGGUUGAGGUCUUUAUUUUCAUGCCAGCCUUUCAUGACAUGCUCAUACACUUGGGCGAGGGUAGAAUCUCGUUGGGUUGCUUUGCGUACUUGCUGCCAAGUGACAGGCAACAUGCUGAACUGUGACACAUGAAAUGCCUCAACCGGGUCAACAGACUGAUUUUCUUCAUCUUCAGUUGUUGCUAGAGGUAAACGGGACAAUCCAUCUGCAUUACAAUGCUGUGUUGAACUACGGUGUUCAAUCUCGUAGUCAAACCCUGAAAGGAAUAGUGCAUAUCGUUGGACUCGAGCAGCAGUCGUUGCUGGUAUAGCCUUGGUUGGACUGAAAAUUGCUGUCAAUGGUUUAUGAUCUGUUCGCAGGGUGAAAUGUCGUGCAAAUAUGUAAGUAUGGAAUUUCUUCAAACCCCAUACUAAAGCCAAUGCUUCCUUAUCUAUCUGAGAAUAGUUUUUCAGUUUUUGUAAGGGACCUUGAAGCAUAAGCUAUUGGUCAUUCAGUAUUAUCACCCAUGACUUGUGUUAAAGCUGCCCCCAACCCAUACGGAGAUGCAUCGCAUUCUAACUUGAUUGGGCGUUGAGGGUCAUAAUGUGCAAGGACUUUCUCGGAUGCAAUUAACUCCUUUGCUUUCAGAAAAGCUUGCUCACAUUCCGAGGUCCAUUUCCACCGUCUCUCUUUUUCGAGCAACUGGUUUAGUGGUUGAAGUAAGGUAGAAAGGUUUGGAAGGAAAUCGUGGUAAUAAUUAAUAAGACCAACAAAGGAACGAACUUGGGAAACAUUCUCAGGACGUGGUGCAUUUAUCACAGCAUUCACUUUCUGUUGGGACUUGUGCAGAUCGGACCCAGCUUGCUGAUCUCGUGACCACAGAACUCGAUUCUUUCUUUGAAGAAUUCGCACUUACUGCUGUUGGCUCUGAGACCAUGUUCACUAAGUCGACUGAGAACUUCUUCUAGGUUGUCAAGAUGCUCUUGGUCGGUUGCACCAGAUAUGAUCAUGUCAUCAAGGAUACAUUGCACAUGGGGAAUUCCUUCCAAUAUCUGAUCCAAAAGCUUGUUGCAAUAGCUUCUUGCUUUUUCCAAUAGCUUCUAUUCAAUAGCUUGUUGCCACAUUGCGGGGGCAGAUGCUACACUAAAUACAAGCCAAUUGUAUUGGAAUAAUCCUUUAUGGGUAUUAAUUGUUAGGAAUUUCUUUGACUCUUCUUCCAUUUCCAUCUGUAAAUACGCCUGUCGCAGAUCAAUCUUGCUGAACUUUUGCCCACCGCCGAGGGAGGCGAAAAUAGCAUCAAUCCUUGGGAGAGGGUAUUGUUUUGGUGUAAAUAGGUAAUGGGACAAGUACUGGUGUGAGACAUUGUGUAACCUAAAUAAUUGGAGGACCAGUAUUCAAAUUUAUUGUUAUUUACUCCAACUUCAAUAGUAUAGACUGCAUAUACGUGAUAGAUGAUACAGUGUUCGGAUAACUUCUUAUUUCAGCCACAUAAGUAUUAAUAUUUUCAUCGUCUCUUUGAUCCUGCUUAUGAAAUCUAAAUCGUUCUGCGAUCAGUAAGGGUUUGGGCGACAAAUGUCCCUUGCCACUAUUUGAUCAAAUGAUUUUGUCGAAGGUUUAUCAGGAGAAGUCAGUGUUCGCAAUAAACUAUACGUCUUACCUCCGAUUACUAUCAACAAUACUGGAACUCUUUUAUCAUCGGCUACAUUGUUCGCAAAAUACUGUUCAACUCUUUCUAGAAAUACUGUUCAACUCUUUCUAUAUAUGCAGUCCAAUUGUCGCGUGUUUCAUAAUCAAUUGAAACUGAACCCUUAAUCAAUUGUUUAUAAUCCUCGUCGCCAAUGUAGUGUUCUUCGAUAUUGAUUGUGUUUUUAAUAUCAUGUCCAAAACAACUGUCGUGGUGAUGACCCCAAAGCGUCAUGGGUCAUACACCACAGUAAGUGUGACAUAUCUAGCGUAAAACAUUCGCGAUACCUAUCUUUAUUGACGGAUUAUAACCUCUCAAAUAACCAAUUGUGCUCUGCCGAAAUUUGUAAACACAAACAACGAUUAAGAAUGCUAUAUGACAUAAAAAAUUAUAUUCAUAUUCUGUUAAUUAUUAACUCUGAGAAUUUUAAUGAAACUUAAUUGUUUUAAAAUGUUAUAUUAGAUCUUCUGUGAACGAUAUGGAGCUGAAAUACUUCGUUCGCAGAGCAUUCUAUCCCCUGUACUUUUGAGAUAUACAAUGAUGUCUGGCAUAUGGGGCCCAGACAAUCACUUUCAGAAGUUGUUGGGACACAUGUAGUUUUAGAUUGUAAGUGGAUCAUUACAGUAUUUUACACACAAUACCACUCCCCCCCUCUCCUCUAAGGUGACACUGACCCCUCGUCCUGUUUUUCAAGGUGACUUUUCCAAUUUAUUUAAUUCCGAGUAGAAAUGUCUGGGAAAAUUUAUGUCUUCGAUGUACUUUAUAAUCAUUUGAAUUCUGCAAGAUUUCACCCCCAAAAUGCUUGAAAUCGCAUUUCAGGGACUCUAGAUUUCAAAAUGUUUCCUGGGGGUCAUGCCCCCGAACCCCCCUAGACGGUCUCACACUCUCACGCCUUCGGCGUUCGCUUCGCCCACCAAAAAUUAAGGUCUGACUACGCCACUGCUAGCUAUACAUGACACAAACCGUAGGUUUCACCAGGGCGUAAUAAAACACACUGUGUUUUACAGCGCCCUGGUUUCACAUAUUUCACGGCAUGGUUUGCUUUCAAGACCGGUACCCUGGCUGUAUGUACAUCAUCUAACUGCACCUACAUAAGUAUACAUAUACUUAAAUACUAUAAGGAACCCAGUUUGCAAUAUUGCACGGCAUGGUCUACUUUCCAGACCCUGUGAAGAUAUAAGAAAACCAUUUACUAAAUGAGAUACAGGAAAAUUACACAACACAAAAUCACAAGCGACUGUGCAGGUCUUAUCGCCAAUGCCUAAUUUGCAAAAUCGCGGCAUGGUUAAAUCCGAUCCUGUGAUAAAUAUGCAUCAUCAAAUCACACCUAUCCAUUACCAAGUAAUAACUUUACAUACAGUACAUGCUAGCUUCAAUUACGAUAUUUCUCCAAUGGAUUGACAUACAAAAGAUACAAAACAGCGCACGCAUUAUACGCGUGCACCUAAUAUACAAUAUUUCACGGCAUGGUCCACUUUCCAGACCCCACUGAAAAUAUAAGAAACCAUCAAAUUAAUAAUGCUUAUAAGUAUAAACCACUAACCAAAGGUCCAAGACGCAUGUAGAGGUUCUAUUACCUAUCCCAAAAUUAAAAUACUAAACUUUAAAGUUAAUAUUAUUACUCCAUUCAGGUUUGCUGGUUUUUCUUUCAUUUCGCAGAUCUACAAGAAGUCGUUUCAUGAAGACAUGGGUGGCUUUGAUCAUGUUCAGGAAUUAAUUUGGUGCAGUUCAUGUGAUUCGCUGUUUACGUUGGCGUGAAUUUGAGGAUCGAUCGAUAAGCGUCUUAGCACACCAUUCAGUUGGAUGUUUUCGUGAAACCGAUUCUGCAGGCUGUAGAGCUCCAUUAUCCCAUGUGACCUAUCGCUAACAGAAGUGUGGGCUGAAG
rnacentral:lncRNA from 1 species